rnacentral:lncRNA from 1 species
CCUCGCUGUCUUUCCGCCUAACGCGCGGCGCAGGAGGCGGAGGAGAAGGAAGGGGAGAGUCCGCCCCGUUCCCUCAGCGCGCUUCGUGAGUGGAGGGGUAGGCGGUUGAAGUCGCCUGGUCUCCCGCGUCCCUUUCACAGAAGGAGGAGGAGUAGGCGGCUCUUGCCUUCCUCCUCCCGCCCCCCUCCUGUCGUCGUUUCUUCAGUGACUGACCCAGGAACUGGCGCCCGAUGCCUCGCCAACAUCCCAGGGCGGCGCGCGAGACCGGAGCAGCCCGCGCGCAAGAUUUUGCUUGCCGCAGAAGGACUUGACUGCUUUUGGGAAUCCGAAAGGCAGAUGGUGGAGGAGCUAAGAUGAAACAAAUUAAUUUAUCUUCAUCGUCUUGAGUUUGCUACAUGAANGUUGGCUGUUUUACAGAGCUGCGUGGCAAUGUCAGGCUUCUACCUUUUGUAUGAAAAGUCAUCUGCAAAAUCUUAAUAAAGUAAUAAAGCAAUAUCA